AUGUGCUUCCACGAGAAGCACAUUCUUGGAAAAGAAAAAAAAUGCUACGAGGUGUGCUUCUCGGAAAGGAAAUCAAAUGUGCUUUCACGAGAAGCACAUAUUUCCUUCUCGUGGAGACAUGAAUUUGCUUCUGUGAGUGUGCUUCUCGAUAAGAAAAAUAAAUACAAGCUUCACUUCUCAUGGAAGAACAGAUUGCUUCCACAAGAAGCACAACCGUGCUUCCCACUCCAGUAUUUUUCAGGUUUUUUCAUGAAAAAAAGUUUAUCAAACCUUUUAAAAUGGGAUAUAAUUUGGAAGAUCUUGACACGAAAAAUCAAAUGGUGA
rnacentral:rRNA from 1 species